CCCACGCCGCGGCUCGCGGGCUCGCUCACUCGCGGGCACGUGCCCUGCGCUGGGGAGGGGACGAGCCCCGGGCACGGCCACCGAGCAACCAGGCGCGGAAGGCCCACGGAGCAGAAAGUUAGCUUGAGCCUCGCCGACGACGGGAGCUUGGAAGUCGCGAGAAAGUGUACCCCAAGUUACAUCAGUGACCUGAGCGUGCCGGGCAGGGCCCAGUUUCGGUGGCUUCUGUUAGCGGGGAAGCCAUGUGGCAGGAGCCAGGGGAGCCCCCAGGAAGAGGCAAGCCCGGCAGGUCACCUGGAGCUGGGAUAAAUGGGUGACUUCUCCUGUAAGAGCAGUGGGUAGCUUUAAGCCAGACAGCCACCCAAAGGACCCUAGGGCCGCUGCGGGAGCGUGCGCGGAAACCGGACCCGCUGCUGGUGGCAGGCCGCAGGGCCCAAGGUGCGCACGGGCAAAGGGCUACAUUGUGGAUCCCAUCACCCCCACCUCAACAGGGCGCCCUUGAAUGGGGGACAACCUGCAACCAGGGCAGGACCCCCAAAGCUGUGCUGGCGCCACGCACUGGCAAAGAGGGACACGGGUCAGAGCAGAGGUGGUCUCAGACUCCUGCACUAAAGCCCGGAUGCGCAGCCCACUGCGCGGAGGUGGAGAAGCCCCCAGGCCAGAGGGAGCCGCGCAGAACCGGAGCGAUCCGGUUUGGGGCCCGCGGGCUCCCUCCUCCCGCUCCCCACGCCCUCCACGCUCCGCUCCGUCAGCGACUGGCUGGAUUUUGCCGCAGUCCCCGACCAAGGUAAACAGCGAGGAGGGAGGAGGAAAGAAUGCUCUGUUUCCAUGGCAACCCACGGGGAGUUUGCUGUGAGGGUGACUUGAUGGGGAAGAAAAGGCUCGCUGGAGAAGCGACAGGAAGGACCCUUCCCGUGGGCAUGGGGGGGAGGGGGUCGUUCUGGAGCAGGAUGUGGGCCUGGGGAAACAAGACGGAGGAGAGGGCUCAGGCACCCUCAGUGGAGUGGCAGAUGGGGCCUGGGGACGCACCAAAAAUCCAAGCACUCAUACUUGCUGUCAACUUUAAACCCAGGGAGCAGAAAACAGAUGCCAGAGCUCUGACUGCCACCCACACCUCGCUGGCCCUUUCUAGAAAACCCUUCCAUGAGGCAGCUUAGCGAAGGGGCAACCACACGGAGGGGGACCCAGAACCCCAGGGACCCAGGCCCAGAAGCAGGUCCUGUGUGAAGCACGGAGUCCCACUGUUCCCAGCUGCUCCCUGACUGCUCCUGCUCUGUGCUCCCUGGAGACCUCCAGGGUGCUCUGGUCCUUCCUUCUUCAGAUCUGGUCUCCUCCCGGGGAAGACAGACACCUGAUGUGGGAUGGCGACUACCAGAAAGUCAUCCUUUUGCUGAAGGUGUGAGUGUGAUAGAUCAAGGGAAUAACGCCUGCAUGAGAUUGGGUGGGGGGGAUCACAAAGCAGUGUAUCCCCAGCCCCUCCUGGAGAAAUGUCACUGUGUCGCUCUCUUGCUGCUGACUGAAGCCCUUGCUGACCAAAGCCUUCCACACCCUGGGUCUGUCUUCUUUAGAGCAAUGUGAGGGUGUCAGAAACCUUGGGCAGGUUCAGGCUUUGUAUAGAUUACUGAGGUCCCUCCAUCACCAGAAUCAGCCCAUCUGCUCCUAGGGAGGGGCUCUCUCCUGCUUUGGCUUUUACCUGUGUGCCCAAGGAUAGGAGAAAACCGGGCACAAAGGGAUGUUGCAGGGGGGUGCACAUCAUGCCCCGGCAAAACUGAGCUGAUCUGUGUAGUUUGAGCCACGAGAAGCAGCAGCAGGGCCACCUGUGGGAAGCUGGGUGGAGGUGCCCUGCAACCUCAGUUUCUCCAGGUUAGCUAGCUAAUUACAGGAAACCAGGUCCCAGGCUGCUUCUUUUCACAGGGGUCUUCAGAUACUGUGGCCUGCCUGAGACACCUCCAAGACGGAACAGUGUUUUUGGCUGGGGCUGGGCUUGAACCUGCCACCUCCGGCAUACGGGGCCCACGCCCUACUCCUUUGAGGCACAGGCGCCGCCGAGCCUGGGAGAACGCCAUGUGAAGAUGAAGGUGGAGAUCAGGAUGAUACCCCUGUCAGUCAAGGAACACCAGAGGCUGCCAGCAGACUCCCAGAGCUGGGAGAAAGCAUCGAUCAAUUCUCUCUGCCAGCCCUCAGAGGGAGCAAACCCUGCCGACACCUCAAUCUCCUACUGCCAGCCUCUAAACUGUGAAAGAAUAAAUUUCUGUUG